rnacentral:rRNA from 1 species
GACGAACGCUGGCGGCGUGCUUAACACAUGCAAGUCGAACGGAAAGGCCCUGCUUUUGUGGGGUGCUCGAGUGGCGAACGGGUGAGUAACGAGUAAGUAACCUGCCCUUUCCUUUGGGAUAACUUCAGGAAACUGGGGCUCAUACCGGAUAGGAGCUCCUGCUGGAUGGGGGGGGAUGGAAAGUUUCGGCGGUUGGGGAUGGACUCGCGGCUUAUCAGCUUGUUGGUGGGGUAGUGGCUUACCAAGGCUUUGGCGGGUAGCCGGCCUGGGCGGGUGCCCGGCCACAUUGGGACGGGGAUACGGCCCGGACCCCUACGGGAGGCAGCAGUGGGGAUUAUUGCCCAAUGGGCGGAAGCCGGAUGCAGCAACGCCGCGUGCGGGAUGACGGCUUUCGGGUUGUAACCCGCUUUCGCCUGUGACGAAGCGUGAGUGACGGUAAUGGGUAAAGAAGCACCGGCUAACUACGUG